GCCAAGCUCAUCUUUAUAGAAAAGAAAUCGAAAGAAUACAAGUUCAUCUUCACAAAAAAUGACUACAAGAAGAAGAAUCAUGGGUGUUAGCUUUUUCUUGGGAAUUAUGUGUAUUGUUUUCCUUUUGACUUCAGGAUCAGCGAAUAUAAUUUCAGAAUCAGCAAAUACAGAAUCAGCGGAUACAAUUUGCAAGAAGGGAGGAUUUUGUCCCAACACUAAUCUUUGUAACAAUAUAUGUUUAUUUUGGGGCUUCAAUAAGGGUGGUUCUUGCACUAUUCUUCAAAAUGAAAAUCUAUGUUGCUGCACAAGCUGAUGAUCCUAGUUAGAUACCUUUCAAAUCAGUGUUUUCUCAAUGUGUCAAUGAAGUGCUCCCCUAAAAAUAUUAUAAAUAAAGUGUUUCCAAUUAGUUUUA